UACGUAGGUGGCAAGCGUUGUCCGGAAUUAUUGGGCGUAAAGCGCGCGCAGGUGGUUCCUUAAGUCUGAUGUGAAAGCCCCCGGCUCAACCGGGGAGGGUCAUUGGAAACUGGGGAACUUGAGUGCAGAAGAGGAUAGUGGAAUUCCAAGUGUAGCGGUGAAAUGCGUAGAGAUUUGGAGGAACACCAGUGGCGAGGGCGACUGUCUGGUCUGUAACUGACACUGAGGCGCGAAAGCGUGGGGAGCAAACAGG
rnacentral:rRNA from 1 species